UAAGAGUUCGUUGUAUCGAAACAAGGAUGUGCGAGAACCCGAUGGUCGGUACGAGUCGAGAAGAAGUCGAGUCGGGUCGGGUUCCCGAAAAUUUCG